UACAGAGGUCUCAAGCGUUGUUCGGAUUCAUUGGGCGUAAAGGGUGCGUAGGCGGCGUGGUAAGUCGGGUGUGAAAUCUCGGAGCUUAACUCCGAAACUGCAUUCGAUACUGCCGUGCUUGAGGACUGGAGAGGAGACUGGAAUUUACGGUGUAGCGGUGAAAUGCGUAGAUAUCGUAAGGAAGACCAGUGGCGAAGGCGGGUCUCUGGGACGGUACUGACGCUGAGACGCGAAAGCGUGGGGAGCGAACAGG
rnacentral:rRNA from 1 species